UACGAAGGGGGCUAGCGUUGUUCGGAAUUACUGGGCGUAAAGGGCGCGUAGGCGGUGUGUCAAGUCAGGCGUGAAAGCCCCGGGCUCAACCUGGGAACCGCGCUUGAGACUGGCACGCUAGAGUUCGGGAGAGGAUGGUGGAAUUCCCAGUGUAGAGGUGAAAUUCGUAGAUAUUGGGAAGAACACCGAUGGCGAAAGGCAGCCAUCUGGACCGACACUGACGCUGAGGCGCGAAAGCGUGGGGAGCAAACAGG
rnacentral:rRNA from 1 species